UACGAAGGGGGCUAGCGUUGCUCGGAAUUACUGGGCGUAAAGCGCACGUAGGCGGCUUUCUAAGUCGGGGGUGAAAUCCUGGAGCUCAACUCCAGAACUGCCUUCGAUACUGGAAAGCUCGAGUCCGGGAGAGGUGAGUGGAACUGCGAGUGUAGAGGUGAAAUUCGUAGAUAUUCGCAAGAACACCAGUGGCGAAGGCGGCUCACUGGUCCGGUACUGACGCUGAUGUGCGAAAGCGUGGGGAGCAAACAGG
rnacentral:rRNA from 1 species